GCCCAAAUACCUAAACCCUCUAAAAAUUGUAAACAAUAAAAACAAUUAAACAUAAGAUUAGUAUAAGUACAGAAAUGGAAAAAAUAACAAAUUAAAGUAAAUUUUAAAAAAUGUACCUCGUGCAUUAUGGUUUUACAAGAAAAUAAUUAAAUAUAUAAAUCCCGAAUUCUGAAUGAGAUGUUAGACUGCUGUCAAGAACCCAUUAAUAACUGUGAAAAAAGUUUUAAGAGACAGUUUAACAGAGGCUACAUACCAUCCGCAUAAGAAUAUAGCUGGUUUUCAACAAACAUUAUAAAUUAAUACAUAUAAUUAUAUUAUAGUGUGACAUUAUUGAGGAUAAGCCCAAUAAUCUGCGCAAUUAACAUAACUAUUCUGCCCUAUUAAAUAGGCCUAAAACCAGCCAACUAAAAUACUUUAUCGUAAUACAAAUAGACAUAAUACAUAACAUUAUAGAUGCCCCAAAAAGUUGAAAUGGUAAAAAAACUCCAUUAUUGCCCCAUACUAUGUAAAAAUAAGUAUUACAAACUCAUAACAACAAAAUAUAGUAAGUAUAAAAAUACACAUAAAUAAUAAUUAAUUAAGGAACUCGGCAAAUCAUUAUUUCGACUGUUUAACAAAAACAUUGUCUUAUGUAUAAAAUAUUAGAUAAUACCUGCCCAGUGACAUUUGUUCAACGGCCGCGGUAUCCUAACCGUGCAAAGGUAGCAUAAUCAUUUGCCUAUUAAUUGUAGGCUAGAAUGAACGGGUUAACGAAAUAAAAGCUGUCUCAAUUAAUCAACUAAAAAUUAUUUUUUGUCCGAAGAAAGGCAGAUAAACUCGAAGGACAAGAAGACCCUAUAGAGCUUAAUUUAAAAUAUAGAACUAUGCUAUAGCAAUAUUCGGUUGGGGCGACCCAGGGCUAAUAAAUCACCCAUUAAAUAAAAGAUAAAUUAAUCCACCAAAUGACCCUUAAAGAUCAUAAGAACAAGCUACCUUAGGGAUAACAGGCUAAUCCCACUUAAGAGUCCUUAUCAACAGUGGGGUUUGGCACCUCGAUGUUGGCUUAGGGUAUCCCUAUAGCGCAAAAGUUAUAUAAAGAUGGUUUGUUCAACCAAUAAUCCCCUACAUGAGCUGAGUUCAGACCGGCGUAAGCCAGGUUAGCUUCUAUCCUCGACUACCACUUCUGCCCCUAGUACGAAAGGACCUGGGCAGAGUAAUAACUUACCCCCAAGAAGAUAUAUAAUUAAAUAUAAAUAAUAACAAAUACACACUAUA
rnacentral:rRNA from 1 species